rnacentral:rRNA from 1 species
GAUGAACGCUGGCGGCGUGCCUAAUACGUGCAAGUCGAGCGAACAGACGAGGAGCUUGCUCCUCUGACGUUAGCGGCGGACGGGUGAGUAACACGUGGAUAACCUACCUAUAAGACUGGGAUAACUUCGGGAAACCGGAGCUAAUACCGGAUAAUAUAUUGAACCGCAUGGUUCAAUAGUGAAAGACGGUUUUGCUGUCACUUAUAGAUGGAUCCGCGCCGCAUUAGCUAGUUGGUAAGGUAACGGCUUACCAAGGCAACGAUGCGUAGCCGACCUGAGAGGGUGAUCGGCCACACCGGAACUGAGACACGGUCCAGACUCCUACGGGAGGCAGCAGUAGGGAAUCUUCCGCAAUGGGCGAAAGCCUGACGGAGCAACGCCGCGUGAGUGAUGAAGGUCUUCGGAUCGUAAAACUCUGUUAUUAGGGAAGAACAAAUGUGUAAGUAACUAUGCACGUCUUGACGGUACCUAAUCAGAAAGCCACGGCUAACUACGUG